rnacentral:rRNA from 1 species
AUGGCCAAGGCGCACCACCAGCAGCAUCAUCACAACGACAGCUACAUCAAGCCCCCCAAGCAUGAUUUCCCGCGUUUCGACGGCAGCGCGCCGUUCCUCUGGCUCGACCGCUGUCGGGCGUACUUUGAACUCUAUCGUGUGCCGCCGUCGAGCUGGGAUACCACGGCGACACUAUAUAUCGAGGGACAAGCGGCUCACUGGCUACAGGCAUUUCGACAAACACAUGGUGGCCUCGCUUGGGAGGCGUUCUGUGCAGCGAUUACUGAAGAAUUUGGCGUCGACGAGUUUGAGAUGGAGAUGAACAAACUGCUGCAACUCUGUCAGAGCGGCACCGUCAGCGAGUACCGCAAGGAAUUCGACACCCACAUGUAUCAUCUGCUGGCGCUCGAUCCGUCGCUCAGUAUCAAAUUCUUCAUCACCCAGUUCCUGUUGGGACUCAAGGACGAGUUACGCGCUGCGGUCCGGCUUCAGGCACCCAACAGCAUAACACGCGCUUCGAUUCUGGCACGAAUCCAAGAGGAGGAACUCAGCAUGCCCAGGGCGCGCCCACGACCGCAACCACAGGGUCGUCCACCGCCAGCGGCCGCGCGCCCACCUGUCGUGCCACGGCAACAACCGGACGACUACGCGCGUGAACGGCAACUCAAGGAAUUCCGUCGAGCCAACGGACUCUGUUUCAAGUGCGGCGACAAAUAUACUAGAGAGCACCGCUGCAACACGCAGGCGCAGCUUCUCACCAUUCAGGUUGGCACCUACGGCGAGCUGCUCACUAACGACACCGUGCACGCGCUCGACCUGCUCGACGCUCCAGAACUAGUCGUGCCUCCGCCCGAGUGCUGCACCAUAUCGGCACAUGCUCUGGAUGGCUCUGAAGCGCCCAGUACAAUUUGGCUUCGCGCAUUAGUGGGCAAUCAGGUCAUGUUGCUCCUUCUGGACUCCGGGAGCACGCACAGUUUUGUGAACAAAUCCUUCGUCGAGCGCGUCGGCGCAACCACACAGGAGAUUGCCGCCCUGGACAUGCGGGUGGCCAAUGGCGAUCGGCUCACCUGCUCUCGCCAAGUCCCGAAGCUCAAGUGGUGGAUGCAGGGCUAUACGUUCUCGACGCCCAUGUACGAGCUCGACACCGGCGUGUACGACGGCAUCCUCGGCAUGGAUUGGCUUGCCAAGCACAGCCCAAUGACUUUUCACUGGCAAGACAAGUUCAUCUCCUUCCUCCAUGAAGGCGAGUUAGUUACACUGCAAGGUGUUCGACCCAAGAAGGCGACCACGCUCGCCGUGGUACAGCCGGCCGAGCUGUGCAAAUUGAUUGCCGGCAACGAUAUUUGGGCAAUGGCCAUGGUCGAGAUGCAGCCACCAAGACCCAAAUCCCGCAAGCCGUCGCAGACUCCAAUCAGCGAUCUCUUGGAGGAAUUUGCUGACAUUUUUGACGCGCCCAAGGGUCUGCCUCCUCGCCGCCAAUAUGAUCAUGCAGUUACCUUGGAAGACGGAGCGCAGCCAACCAACACCAGGCCAUACCGCUACUCUCCUCUACAGAAAGACAAGAUAGAGCGGCAAGUGAAGGAGAUGCUCAACGCCGGAGUGAUCACGCACUCUAUCAGUCCGUAUGCGGCGCCGGUGCUGCUUGUGAAGAAGAAGGAUGGCACCUGGCGGUUCUGCGUGGAUUACAGGCGCCUCAAUGACGUGACAGUGAAGAACAAGUUUCCCCUACCUGUCGUCAACGAGUUACUCGACGAGCUCGCCGGCGCGGCCUUCUUCUCCAAGCUUGCUCUGCGCGCAGGCUACCAUCAAAUUCUCAUGCACGAAGAAGAUGAACACAAGACGGCAUUCAAAACUCACUACGGCCACUUCCAAUUCAGGGUCAUGCCAUUCGGGUUGACAAACGCUCUUGCCACGUUCCAAUGCUUGAUGAACGCCAUCUUCGCCAAGUAUACCCGUAAGUUUGUCAUCAUUUUUCUUGACGACAUCCUUGUUUUCAGUGAGACUCUCGAAGAACACUUGGAACAUCUCCGCAUCGUCCUCAACUUGCUCCAUGAGCACCAACUAUAUGCCAAGAUGUCCAAGUGCUCAUUCGCGCAAGACCACAUAGACUACCUGGGUCACGUCAUCUCCAAGCAGGGCGUCGCGACUGAUUCCGAGAAGACAGACGCCAUGGCGCAGUGGCCUACUCCAACCAAUGCCACCGAGCUCCGUGGCUUUCUGGGGCUCACCGGCUAUUACCGCAAGUUCGUCCCCCACUACGGGAUCAUCGCCAAGCCGCUCACCCAGUAG